rnacentral:tRNA from 1 species
AGGCAAGUAACUCAGUUGGUUAGAGUACACGGCUUAUAUCCGUGUGGUCGUGGGUUCAAGCCCUACCUUGCCUA